GGAUUAUAAUAUUUUUUUAAUUUAGGAAAAAACUGGAUAAACUCCUAAAUCUUUCUGUCUUUCUUGUUACUUGUAGUCUUUGGAAGACAACCACAUUUUUGUUUGUGUUGCUUCUAAUUCACAUGGGCAGACUUUUGAAGGUUUCUUGCCGUGGUUGAAUUAUACUUGUUUAAGUUUAAGCAGUGUUUAAAAUAUCAUAUAUAAAUUUAUCGAAAUAUCGAUAAAUACAUUGAUAUUGGUUGUCAUCGGUGGAAAGUAUGGAAAUUUUUAAUGGGAUAGGUAUCUCAACUCGUCAAAAUUAGAGAAAAAUUUCUCAAAAAAAAAAAAUCAAAAGUUUGAAAUUUGCUGGAACCAUCUGCAAUGGGUUCUAGCAAAUUUUCUAUCGUGAAAAAUAUCAUCGAUGUUCAUUGAAUUUUCUUGUAUCUCACCGAUAAAGGAUGAAGUUUUCAUUUAAUCCUUCUUUUCAUAUCGAUCAUUGAUUUUUCAGAUAUCGACUAAAAUAUCGACAAUUUCGCUGAUAUCUUAAAUACUGAGUGAUUGAAGUUAGUUUUUGAGGUCCACAAUGUAAUGCGUUCAAGGACAAAAGUUAUAUUACUUUUUAUGGAUUGAUGCGGCAUGUACUUACACAUAUUUUAUACAAAAGUUGAUUUACUUA